GACGAACGCUGGCGGCGUGCCUAAUACAUGCAAGUCGAACGCAGUGGGGACGGGUGAGUAACCCGUGGGUAACCUCCCAUCAGAGGGGAUAACACUUGGAAACAGGUGCUAAACCGAGACGGAUGGAUGGAACCGCGGUGCAUUAGCUAGUGGGUGAGGGAACGGCUCACCAAGGCAACUAUGCAUAGCCGACCUGAGAGGGGGAUCGGCCACACGGGGACUGAUACACGGCCCAGCCUCCUACGGGAGGCAGCAGAAGGGAAUCUUCGGCAAUGGACGAAAGGCUGACCUAGCAACGCCGCGUGAGUGAAUAAGGUUUUCGGAUCGUAAAACUCUGUAGUUAGAGAAGCGGGAUCUAACCAGAAAGCCACGGCUAACUACGUGCCAGCAGCCGCGGUAAUAC
rnacentral:rRNA from 1 species